UUGACGGGACCCGCACAAGCGGUGGAUGAUGUGGUUUAAUUCGAUGCAACGCGAAAACCUUACCACCUUUGACAUGUACGGAAUCCUUUAGAGAUAGAGGAGUGCUCGAAAGAGAACCGUAACACAGGUGCUGCAUGGCUGUCGUCAGCUCGUGUCGUGAGAUGUUGGGUUAAGUCCCGCAACGAGCGCAACCCUUGUCAUUAGUUGCUACAUUCAGUUGGGCACUCUAAUGAGACUGCCGGUGACAAACCGGAGGAAGGUGGGGAUGACGUCAAGUCCUCAUGGCCCUUAUAGGUGGGGCUACACACGUCAUACAAUGGAUGGUACAAAGGGUCGCCAACCCGCGAGGGGGAGCCAAUCCCAUAAAGCCAUUCGUAGUCCGGAUCGCAGUCUGCAACUCGAGAGCAUGAAGUCGGAAUCGCUAGUAAUCGCGGAUCAGCAUGUCGCGGUGAAUACGUUCCCGGGUCUU
rnacentral:rRNA from 1 species